rnacentral:rRNA from 1 species
UACGGGGGGGGCAAGCGUUGUUCGGAAUUACUGGGCGUAAAGGGCUCGUAGGUGGCCAACUAAGUCAGACGUGAAAUCCCUCGGCUUAACCGGGGAACUGCGUCUGAUACUGGAUGGCUUGAGAUUGGGAGAGGGAUGCGGAAUUCCAGGUGUAGCGGUGAAAUGCGCAGAUAUCAGGAAGAACACCGAUGGCGAAGGCAGUUCUCUGGGACGGUACUGACGCUGAGACGCGAAAGCGUGGGGAGCGAACAGG